GGUCAUGAGUGCCAGCGUGAAGCCCCGGCUUGCUGGCCGGCAACCCUCGUCCGCGCAGGGGUGCCCCGGGUGAGGACCAGGCACCGGUGCAACCACCGGUGCAAGCGUGGCCU
rnacentral:ncRNA from 2 species